rnacentral:rRNA from 1 species
UACGAAGGGGGCUAGCGUUGCUCGGAAUCACUGGGCGUAAAGGGCGCGUAGGCGGACUCUUAAGUCGGGGGUGAAAGCCCAGGGCUCAACCCUGGAAUUGCCUUCGAUACUGAGAGUCUUGAGUUCGGAAGAGGUUGGUGGAACUGCGAGUGUAGAGGUGAAAUUCGUAGAUAUUCGCAAGAACACCAGUGGCGAAGGCGGCCAACUGGUCCGAUACUGACGCUGAGACGCGAAAGCGUGGGGAGCAAACGGG